rnacentral:lncRNA from 1 species
CAUAAUAUAAAUACAAAAACCUUGUCAAGUUAACGGUUUAUACUUUUCCUGAGCUAAUAGCAUAUAUAUAAUGAUUUCUGCUUCCUUGUUUACGAUGUGAUGACAAGGGUAGCUGCGCCACUGUGGGCCACAGGAGCACCACAUUCCAGGAAGCACUAGUCACGCAUGCCAACUUACAUGUUUGGCAGGCAGGAGAAUGCUGGGCCUUUGACUGAGAAAUAAUUCUGUUUUCUUCCUCCCCCA